rnacentral:rRNA from 1 species
UACAGAGGGUGCGAGCGUUGUCCGGAAUUACUGGGCGUAAAGCGUGCGUAGACGGUUACAUAAGUCGGGUGUGAAAGCCCCGGGCUCAACCUGGGAAUUGCAUUCGAGACUGCGUAGCUAGGGUGCGGCAGGAGGGGGAUGGAAUUCCGCGUGUAGCAGUGAAAUGCGUAGAUAUGCGGAGGAACACCGAUGGCGAAGGCAGCUCGCUGGGACGGUACUGACGCUGAGACGCGAAAGCGUGGGGAGCAAACAGG